rnacentral:rRNA from 1 species
UUGAACGCUGGCGGCAUGCCUUACACAUGCAAGUCGAACGGCAGCACGGGAGCAAUCCUGGUGGCGAGUGGCGAACGGGUGAGUAAUAUAUCGGAACGUGCCCAGUCGUGGGGGAUAACGUAGCGAAAGCUACGCUAAUACCGCAUACGAUCUAUGGAUGAAAGCGGGGGAUCGCAAGACCUCGCGCGAUUGGAGCGGCCGAUAUCAGAUUAGGUAGUUGGUGAGGUAAAGGCUCACCAAGCCGACGAUCUGUAGCUGGUCUGAGAGGACGACCAGCCACACUGGGACUGAGACACGGCCCAGACUCCUACGGGAGGCAGCAGUGGGGAAUUUUGGACAAUGGGCGCAAGCCUGAUCCAGCAAUGCCGCGUGCAGGAUGAAGGCCUUCGGGUUGUAAACUGCUUUUGUACGGAACGAAACGGUGAGCUCUAAUACAGCUUGCUAAUGACGGUACCGUAAGAAUAAGCACCGGCUAACUACGUG